AUCACUUCUGAGCCUUUUGGCUAAGAUAGUGUAUAGUAUCUGUCCUUAUCAUUUUCAUAUCUGAUAUAUUCUCUAUCCAAGGACAAUACAGUAACUGGGUUUUUGGAUCAGGAAAAUGGCUGAUCCAUUCCAUGCAUCAGCCUUGUAUUAUAGUACCUCCAAGAAUGGUGCACCCCCU
ensembl:snRNA U2 U2 spliceosomal RNA